CAUGAGCUGUUUUGGACCCGUGUCUGUUGGUAGAUCCCCCGACUCCUCGUGCGGCCGACUAUCGACGCCGUGUCCCGUCCCGUCAUUCGUGUGGCUUACGCCGCUGUUGCCUUUUGAAGUGCUUGCGUGCCGGUACCCGACCUACGGGAAUUGGUGCUUUCUACACGGUUGCCUCGCGGUGGACGCCUUCGGGUGUGCCGCUGCGGCCAAUCGGUGCUUGCGGCGUUGCCUCGUGGUGUUGGCAUGUUUACGUGUCCGGUGCUAUCAAGGAAGCCUCGCUCGUGCUGUUGGUUUCGGAUGUUGCUCACGUUAAAGGCUCAUAUGGCCCUUUUUUGUUGCCUAAGACCCGACCCUUCAAAGCUCCCUGAACCCGAAAACGUGUCGUGGAACUGUGUUGCCUCUGCCUAUCCACAGCUAGUGGUAGGAUAUGCAACAGCCUGGACCGAUACAAGUAAGAUGUAGGGGAGCUUGGCCCGCUCAAUUGCGACAACCGGCCCGGCUGUUGUCUGCCCUUACGGGUGGAUUGCUCCGACGCUGGAAGUCAAAGAGGACGGCU
rnacentral:misc_RNA from 1 species